UACGUAGGGUGCGAGCGUUGUCCGGAAUUACUGGGCGUAAAGAGCUCGUAGGUGGUCUGUCGCGUUGUUCGUGAAAACUCACAGCUCAACUGUGGGUGUGCGGGCGAUACGGGCAGACUGGAGUACUGCAGGGGAGACUGGAAUUCCUGGUGUAGCGGUGGAAUGCGCAGAUAUCAGGAGGAACACCGGUGGCGAAGGCGGGUCUCUGGGCAGUAACUGACGCUGAGGAGCGAAAGCGUGGGGAGCGAACAGG
rnacentral:rRNA from 1 species